CCGGCUCCUUAAUUUGAUAUUUGCGGAGCAGGAAACGAACUAACUCAGCCACUUUCUCAUCAAGUGCUUCCCGGAACAGGGACUCCAGGUGUGGCUCCCUCUGCUGAGCUGAGGACGCCCUUCAGACCCAGGUUGCUACCUCCCUGAGACCCAGGAGGCAGAAGUAAGGAGGCACUACAUGGACAACCCUGCAUGGGAUUCCCACGGCUGACAGAAGUAGGCUGUUCACCACCCCCCUGCUGACUUGAGUUUCAGUCCCUCGGAUUCCUGAGGCCAAAUGUGGAGGCCCCUCAGUCUCAGACAGUUGUUAUUAGCAGAAUUCUGGAGCCAUGGUGUCUCAAUCAAUCCAAUUUUCCUGGUGUCCUGAUAUUACCCCUGGGCUACUGGCUUCGUGUUUUGAGUUGAUUUUGGGAGUAGAGCACAGCAGCCUGGGCUUGAUUGUCACUUUGGCAGCUACAGCAUUCACUGCAGCUGUGAACGGUAGCAGUGAAAGCAUACAUCAAUGACUUGCUCCUGACGAGAAUGGGAAUGCUUCUAACAUUUCACAUUCAAGAGAAGGAGCCUUGGAGAAUUCGUUGAAUAAUUGCCCGUAUUUUGGGAUUAUUUGGAAGAGUUAAUAUGGUGAUUCGUUUUCCCUGACCACUUGGGGGAACUGACCCACAAAACUGCCUGCCUUAGAACGGUAGAGGGUGGAUUGAGCUUUAAAUACAUUUUCAGUUUGUGGACGUACCAUUGGUUUUAUCCAUUCACCAAUUGGAAAAAGUAUUGAUUGUCAAUUUCAAAUAAGCUGCUAUAUAUGUUUUUGUGUACGUGAUUUUGUGUGUAUGAACCUGUUUCCAAUUUUCCUUGAUAAAACCUAGGAGUACAAUUGCUGUGUGUAAUGGUAAGUCUAAGUUUUGCUAUAUUAGAAAUAGCCAAAGCCCCUUCUAGAGUGAAUGUGUUCUUUUUCUUCUCUACCAGCAAUGAAAGAGAAUGCCACAUCUUUUGUACAAUUUGGUAUUUUCAGGUUGUUGCAUUGUAUCAAUUGUAACAGGUGGGUAGAAGAAUGUUACUGCUGUUUACAUUUGUAUUUUUAUUGAAUAAUUAUGGUAAUCAUCUUUUCAUAUGCUUUUUUGUGAUCUGUGUAUCUUCAUUGGUGAAGUCUUGAAAUCAUUUACUAUUUUAUUGGACUCUUCAUUUUUAUGUGGUUGCAUGUUAUAAGGUGUUUAUUCAUUCAGUAUAUGAAUCCUUUAUCCGACACGGGGUUUACAAGUAUUUUCUCCCCAUUUUUGGCUUUUUUCCCCAUUCCUUUAAGUGUUUUUUUUUUUUUAGUAAACAUUUUAGAGUAAUUUUAAAUUUACAGAAAAGUUGCGAAGACAGUUAAGAGGGUUUUCCUAUACAUCAUGUCCAGUUUCUCCUAUUAUUAACAUCAUGCAAUAAUAUGAUACAUUCUUCAUAAUUCAUAAAUCAAUAUUCACCUGCACAUUCCUGUCAUUGUUUGAGGAUCCCAUCUAGGAUACCAUGCUACUUUAGUCUAAGCUGUGAUAGUUUCUCAGACUAUUCUUGUUUUUGAUGACUUUAACAGUUUUGGGGAGUAUCGAUCAGGCUAUUUGUGGAAUUACCCUCAUUUGGUAUUUGUCUGAGUUUUUUCAUAUAUAGACUUGAGUAAUGGCUUUGGGGUAGGAGACCAGAGAGGCGAAAUGCCAUUCUCAUUACACGAUAUUUUAGCAACAUGACUCAUCGCUGUUGAUGUUGACUGAUGAACUGGCUGAGGUAGUGUUGUCAGGAUUUCCCUCUGCAAGGUUAUUACAUUCCCCCCUUUCUGUAUUGUGCUUUAUAAAAGAAAGUCACUAAGGGCAGCCAUUGGGUAGUAGGGAAGUAUGGUCCACCUUCUUGGGAAGGGGUAGUAUUGACAUGAAUGAUUUGGGAUUCUUCUCAAUGGGAGAUUUGUUUAUUCUCCCCCAUUAUUUGUAUUUAUUUAACCUUCAAUUUGUCUCGGCUGAACUCAUGGUAAUUUAUUAUAUGUUUGGGGUUAUAAUUCAACACCACUUUUAUUUUGCUGCUCAGAUUGUUCCAUCUUUGUCCAUUGGAAGCUCUUUCAGUUGGCUCUGAUGUCCCCUUCACGUAACUGAGCCAUUACAUUUGUUUGUAGCUCUGUCUUACUUUAUGGUAUGACAAGAUGAUGCAGGCUCAUUUUUAUAUUUCCUGUUCCAGUCAUAGAAGAGUCAAUUUUCCAUGGUUUCUGCUUCCUUUUAUGGGAGAAGAGUAUUGGAAUGUGAGAGGUGGGUGCUUGGCAUGCUCAUUGUUCCUGAGGAUUUGUUAUUCCUAGCCACCUCAAUUCUCAGAGUAAAGAUAUAUAUUUUGGUAUAUUAACCUGUGUAUAUACACAUAUCUAUAAUCAGAAUUCUUAAACCCAGUCCCUGUGAGAAAUAGCUUUAGAAGCCAGACAAUACUGCUUCAGUACAGUUUCUUUUAACUUCGGUCCCAGAGACUAACUUCCACAGGUACUUAGGACAGCACCAUAUCCCCAGAUACUCAUUAGAGGUUGUUUCAUAGAUUUGUAACACAGUUAUAUUGUUUUGUCAUAUUCUAUACUCCACCUUGGCAUUCCUCGACCUCCUAAUUUUUUCAAUUUUGCAUACAUUGAGGUUUACUCUUUGUGCUUUAAGGUUUUAUGCUUUUUGACAAAUGCAUAAUAUAUUCCAUUUUUUGACAGCAUGUCAUCAACCAUGACAUGACAAAAUCAAUCAUUACAGUAGCCUAGAGAAUAGUUUCACCUGUCUAAUAAAUUCCUUCUGCUUAUCCUAGUCAUACCUUUUCCCCACCCCUGAUCCCUGGCCACAACAGGUAUUUUUACUGUCGUUAUAGUCUUGUCUUUCCAGAACGUCAAAUAAAUUGCAUCAUAUACUAUGUAGUCUUUUCGGACUGGCUUCUUUUACUUAGAAUUAAGCAUUUAAGAUUUAUUCAUGUUUUUGUGUGCCUAGAUAAGUAAAUAUUUUGGUUGAUGAAUAGUGUUCUGUUGUUGUUGGACCACAGUUUGUUUAUUCAUCUGUCUCUUGAAGAACAUCUUUGUUGUUUCCAGUUUUGGCCAAUUAUUAAAUAAGCUGCCACACCCAUUCAUAUGCAGGUUUUUUUUGUGGGCAUAAAUUUGCAAAUUAGUUCAAUGUAUACCUAGGAGUGUCAAGAAUUUGUUCAGCUUUGUAAAAAAAUCAACUGACAAACCAUCUUUGAAAGUGGCUGUACUACUUUGCAUUCCCAACAGCAACAAAUGAGAGUUCCUUGUUGCCAGGAAUUGGUAUUGUCAGUAUUUGGAUUUUGGACAUUCUAAUAAGUGUGUAUCUUUGUUAUUUAAUUCAUAAUUCUCUAAUAAAGAAUGACAUUGACUAUGUUGUCUUAUGCUUAUUUUUU
rnacentral:lncRNA from 1 species